UGGUGUAGUGGCUAACAUCGUCGUCUUUCACACGACAGCCCUGGGUUCGAUUCCCAG
rnacentral:tRNA from 1 species